CAGCAGCCGCGGUAAAACAGAGGGUGCGAGCGUUAAUCGGAUUUACUGGGCGUAAAGCGUGCGUAGGCGGCUUCUUAAGUCGGAUGUGAAAUCCCUGAGCUUAACUUAGGAAUUGCAUUCGAUACUGGGAAGCUAGAGUAUGGGAGAGGAUGGUAGAAUUCCAGGUGUAGCGGUGAAAUGCGUAGAGAUCUGGAGGAAUACCGAUGGCGAAGGCAGCCAUCUGGCCUAAUACUGACGCUGAGGUACGAAAGCAUGGGGAGCAAACAGGAUUAGAUACCCCUGUAGCCCUGUCUCUUAUACA
rnacentral:rRNA from 1 species